rnacentral:rRNA from 1 species
ACCAGUAGCCAUAUCACCCUGCAACUUACAACUGGUAAACUGCUGCUAAGCAGGUGUGAGCCUGGUCAGUACCUGGAUGGAGACCUCCUGGGAAAAACUAAGGUUGCUGCUGGAA